UUAACAGAUGAUUAUUGAAUUUUUUAUGUAAAUUGUGCAUACUGCACUGUAAAAAUUUGAAAUCUACAAUCAUAGACUAUAGAACAAGCAGAUAUACACAAGACAAGUUAAGCCCACACUGUUUCAAGAGGCUUCUAUUUUUAAAAUGUAUGAAAUAUUUAUUUUCACAGAUUGAUGUGUUUAGGCAAAUCAUUUUAAAAUAUGUUGUCACAAUUACUUUGAAACAACAAUAAUUUUUAUCAUUAUUGUAAUUUUCAGUGUAUAUUCACAUGUGAUUCCAACAACUAUGACACUGAGUUGCUGAAGCAAAAUCAAGCAUUUUAGAAAUAAAGAAAUUAAAGGACAGGAAAAUUAAUUGACUUGCAGCAAUUUUUUUAUGCUGUCAUCUUGGCUAAGCUAGAAUAGUUUACAAGAAUCCCCUAUCCUGUAUGAUAGUUUGUUAACUGGCCCAAAUAAGAAAUUCUUUUUACAAAUUUUGGAAGGGGAAAAUAAAGCAGCUCAUCUGAAAUCUGUUAAUUUAGAGGUACGAGUAACAAAGAGAUACAUGUGGAUUCUAGCUAGUUCUUGCUGUCUUUGUCUCCACACCCACAUCAUCUUCCCAAAUGAAAAUCUUGCUGACCAAGAGCCACUGAGACCCAACAGAUAUGUGGAGACAGCAGCUUUCCAUAAUCUUUUGCACCAGGUCUCCUUUGCAGACCCACUUGGGCAGCCCAAACUGCUUUACUUCAAAGGGUUGGUUAUUGUCUUUUCCAUGAGCCUCCAAUUCUCCCUUUUAGAAAUUUAUGACCCCAGCAAUACACACAAUUUGGGGAAGUGCUAUCACAUAUCUAACCCCUUUUCACAUAAUACUCAUAUUUGUUUUCAUUUUCAGAUUGAAUCUGACUGAGACAUAACUUCGAUGAGAUCACACUGCUAUUAAACCUGCCCCAGAUACAUAUGCACUGGCUUGAGGACCAGCAUAUUGAAGGAACUUGAAAAUGGAAGACCACCUCCACCCUACUGCCCUCUUCAACAGAAAAGCAAUGGGACUGGUUCCUGACAUUGUGCCCUGUGGAGCUGUCAUUACAGCUUAAUCACUCCACUCACCAGAGAACUCGACAUAUCACAUCACACGUCUUAAGACUAUUUAGGAUGAUGGCACACAUUCCAAGCCAACUUUAUGAUUUCCUUUUUGGUGAUCUCCUCCUGUUGAAAAGUAAAAUGUCAUCCCAAAAGUUGUUUUCUGACGUUGGUUAUUUUAAGUGUCCACUAUCAGAUUUCCAUUCUCCCCUCUCUUUUCUCAUGUUCUCCUCUGAAUGGAUAUCCAUCCCUUUGUCAUCAUUUUGUCUAGUUUUCUGAUAUCCUAACCAUUCUCUUAAUUUCCAGUUCCACCUCCUGUAUACAAGGAACAUUAUUCUGGAAGACACUUCCCUGAAACCUGAGUUUCAACAGAAACUUGAGGGCAAGGGUUCUGCCCAUACAGUGAGAACAAGCAAUUAUAACCUUAAGAGAGUAUGGGAAUUCUGAUGUCACUACUCCGUGAUUCUUUAUUUUCAGUCAAUAAAUAACAUGUACCUCUGAUGAUGGCUGUAUGGUCAGGCCACUCAAGAUGGCUUCUCUCUAUACAUCUCCUGCUUGACUGGUGCCUGCUUCACCUACACACAACUCAUAAGACUGAUCUUCCUUCAUAUUCACCCCAGGCCCCAGCUAAUGACUGUUCUAGAUUUAGAUCAGAACUCACCACUAUGCUUAUCCAAGGGGUGGUGAGAGGCAUGACCCUGUGCUGAUUACCCUCGUAACCAAUGAGCCAACCUGACAUCAACUCCCCUAUGACUGGUAACCACUUCUUCCCCACCAGGAGCAAAGACUGCCAUCAUGUCCUGCCCUCCAGCUCCCACACAUGGCAGGAUGUUGCUCCAGGACUUUGCUUCAGAUGUGUAAGAUCACCCUAAUCAUUAAACUAUUGAUUAUCUCUGUUGCUGACUCUGGGAUCUUUCUCAGGUCUUGAAGCUGGGCAAGUACAGGGCUUGUAGACCUGCAGGGUGCAGUCCAGUGCUGACAUAGCUAAUUAAUACCCUCACAUAAAACACUUCAUUUAUAUAAACAUAAUGUAACUAGUAGCCAAAUUGGGUUCAAAAGAAUGGAAAUACAUGGAGAUCAGAAGCAACCUUAGCUCUAGGGUCCUCAGAAAGCCCAGAUUCAGUGGGAUAUCAUGGUACAGCACAAGGCUUGUGGGGAGAAAUGAAUAGCAGGCACAGCUUUGCCCAUCUCUUAUCUAAUUCUCAAUAGUUCCUUCUGCUAUUGGACCAACCUGGGAUGUGUCUAUGUCCAUUCAAAUACUAUCCCUUUCUGAAACUCUUAUGAAAAUUUCAGUGCACAUCAUGUUAAUUAUGAUGUUUCACUCAUGAUGCCACUUAAACUUAUCAUCAUCUUGCAUUGUUUCAAAAUAUUGAAUGUAUGUAAUUACUCUAAUUAUUUAUGUUGCCUUAUUUUAGUUGUGAUGGUUAUAUAUUUUUCCAGGUUUAUUUUCUUCUCUUGUAAAACUGUGCUCAAGCAAAGUAGAUCUACCCAAUGUUUCACAAUGAUACCCUGUACAUUUUGCCUUCCCAAAAUGUCACUUUAAAUAUUCUAUUUGAAGAGUUUUCUCUCUCUUCUCA